rnacentral:SRP_RNA from 1 species
GCUGGGUGUGGUGGUAUGCACCUGUAGUCCUAGCUACUUAGGAGGCUGAGGCAGGAGGAUUACUUGAGCCCAGGAGUUGGAGGCUACAGUGAGCUAUAAUCAUGCCACUGUACUCCAUCCUGGGUGACAGAGUAAGACCCUGUCUCUG